UACCUGCAGCCCAAGUGGUGGUCGAUUUUAUUGAGUCUAAAACGUUCGUAGCCGGUCUGAUAAAUCCUUGGGUAAAUCGGAAAGCUUAACUUUCCGAAUUCCGAGGAGACUGUCAGACUUGGGACCGGGAGAGGCUAGAGGUACUUCUGGGGUAGGGGUAAAAUCCUGUAAUCCUAGAAGGACCACCGGUGGCGAAGGCGUCUAGCUAGAACGGAUCCGACGGUGAGGGACGAAGCCCUGGGUCGCAAACGGG
rnacentral:rRNA from 1 species